CAACGUGAGCAACCUGCCUUUCANAGGGGGAGUAACAGUUGGAAACGACUGCUAAUACCGCAUAACGCUGCGAUGGGGCAUCCCGAUGCAGCCAAAGGAGCAAUCCGCUGGAAGAUGGGCUCGCGGCCGAUUAGCUAGUUGGUGGGGCAACGGCCCACCAAGGCGACGAUCGGUAGCCGGACUGAGAGGUUGAUCGGCCACAUUGGGACUGAGACACGGCCCAGACUCCUACGGGAGGCAGCAG
rnacentral:rRNA from 1 species